rnacentral:rRNA from 1 species
GGUGCCUAAUACAUGCAAGUCGAACGAGUUCUCGUUGAUGAUCGGUGCUUGCACCGAGAUUCAACAUGGAACGAGUGGCGGACGGGUGAGUAACACGUGGGUAACCUGCCCUUAAGUGGGGGAUAACAUUUGGAAACAGAUGCUAAUACCGCAUAGAUCCAAGAACCGCAUGGUUCUUGGCUGAAAGAUGGCGUAAGCUAUCGCUUUUGGAUGGACCCGCGGCGUAUUAGCUAGUUGGUGAGGUAAUGGCUCACCAAGGCGAUGAUACGUAGCCGAACUGAGAGGUUGAUCGGCCACAUUGGGACUGAGACACGGCCCAAACUCCUACGGGAGGCAGCAGUAGGGAAUCUUCCACAAUGGACGCAAGUCUGAUGGAGCAACGCCGCGUGAGUGAAGAAGGCUUUCGGGUCGUAAAACUCUGUUGUUGGAGAAGAAUGGUCGGCAGAGUAACUGUUGUCGGCGUGACGGUAUCCAACCAGAAAGCCACGGCUAACUACGUGCCAGCAGCCGCGGUAAUACGUAGGUGGCAAGCGUUAUCCGGAUUUAUUGGGCGUAAAGCGAGCGCAGGCGGUUUUUUAAGUCUGAUGUGAAAGCCCUCGGCUUAACCGAGGAAGCGCAUCGGAAACUGGGAAACUUGAGUGCAGAAGAGGACAGUGGAACUCCAUGUGUAGCGGUGAAAUGCGUAGAUAUAUGGAAGAACACCAGUGGCGAAGGCGGCUGUCUGGUCUGUAACUGACGCUGAGGCUCGAAAGCAUGGGUAGCGAACAGGAUUAGAUACCCUGGUAGUCCAUGCCGUAAACGAUGAAUGCUAGGUGUUGGAGGGUUUCCGCCCUUCAGUGCCGCAGCUAACGCAUUAAGCAUUCCGCCUGGGGAGUACGACCGCAAGGUUGAAACUCAAAGGAAUUGACGGGGGCCCGCACAAGCGGUGGAGCAUGUGGUUUAAUUCGAAGCAACGCGAAGAACCUUACCAGGUCUUGACAUCUUUUGAUCACCUGAGAGAUCAGGUUUCCCCUUCGGGGGCAAAAUGACAGGUGGUGCAUGGUUGUCGUCAGCUCGUGUCGUGAGAUGUUGGGUUAAGUCCCGCAACGAGCGCAACCCUUAUGACUAGUUGCCAGCAUUUAGUUGGGCACUCUAGUAAGACUGCCGGUGACAAACCGGAGGAAGGUGGGGAUGACGUCAAAUCAUCAUGCCCCUUAUGACCUGGGCUACACACGUGCUACAAUGGAUGGUACAACGAGUUGCGAGACCGCGAGGUCAAGCUAAUCUCUUAAAGCCAUUCUCAGUUCGGACUGUAGGCUGCAACUCGCCUACACGAAGUCGGAAUCGCUAGUAAUCGCGGAUCAGCACGCCGCGGUGAAUACGUUCCCGGGCCUUGUACACACCGCCCGUCACACCAUGAGAGUUUGUAACACCCGAAGCCGGUGGCGUAACCCUUUUAGGGAGCGAGCCGUCUAAGGUGGGACAAAUGAUUAGGGUGAAGUCGUAACAAG